AACUAUCCGAUCUAUGCUUCCGGUGUUCAGUUUGCAACUUCAGGAAAUGCUAGUGAAGAACAAUCUUCAUCCUCCACCAGCCUCCCAAAUUGCCCAGGGAUAAGGUUUGGCCGGCCCGAAACCCGGUCUGACCGACGGGAACCAGAUCCGAUUUCCACGUCUUGAGUCUUGACUUCUCAUUGGAUAAACCACCGGCGGAAGACAGUGUAGUUGUCCGCCAGAAGAGCACUUGAGCUUGCGCAUUUUUGUAUGGAGUUGGGGCUCCGAUUAAGCUGAAAAAAUAGUAGAAUGAGCAGCACUUCGACUAUCUUUCGCG
rnacentral:lncRNA from 1 species